UGAGGAAUAUUGGACAAUGGAGGCAACUCUGAUCCAGCCAUGCCGCGUGCAGGAUGACUGCCCUAUGGGUUGUAAACUGCUUUUAUACAGGAAGAAACACUCUCUCGAGUAGAGAGCUUGACGGUACUGUAAGAAUAAGGAUCGGCUAACUCCGUGCCAGCAGCCGCGGUAAUACGGAGGAUCCAAGCGUUAUCCGGAAUCAUUGGGUUUAAAGGGUCCGUAGGUGGAUAAUUAAGUCAGAGGUGAAAUCCUGCAGCUCAACUGUAGAAUUGCCUUUGAUACUGGUUAUCUUGAGUUAUUAUGAAGUAGUUAGAAUAUGUAGUGUAGCGGUGAAAUGCAUAGAUAUUACAUAGAAUACCAAUUGCGAAGGCAGAUUACUAAUAAUCAACUGACACUGAUGGACGAAAGCGUGGGGAGCGAACA
rnacentral:rRNA from 1 species